AAUCCUCACAUUUCCAGGGUCUAAAAUUAAUGAAUCAAACAAUCAAUCAAUCAAUUAAAAUGUACUAAAGAUCAGUAACUUUUAAAGAACCCCUCUAUCCUGAGUGUGAAGCUGGCUUUUGGUGUUGCUUUUGCGACUGCCAAUAGCCACCGAUGAUGGUUCUUCUCUUCCUUUGGAAGAGUAAGAGGGAGAGAGCACAGUCUGAGUGGU